rnacentral:rRNA from 1 species
UGGCGAACGGGUGAGUAACACGUGGGUGAUCUGCCCUGCACUUUGGGAUAAGCCUGGGAAACUGGGUCUAAUACCGAAUACACCCUUCUGGCUGCAUGGUCUGGUUGGGGAAAGCUUUUGCGGUGUGGGAUGGGCCCGCGGCCUAUCAGCUUGUUGGUGAGGUUACGGCUCACCAAGGCGACGACGGGUAGCCGGCCUGAGAGGGUGACCGGCCACACUGGGACUGAGAUACGGCCCAGACUCCUACGGGAGGCAGCAGUGGGGAAUAUUGCACAAUGGGCGCAAGCCUGAUGCAGCGACGCCGCGUGAGGGAUGACGGCCUUCGGGUUGUAAACCUCUUUCGCCAGGGACGAAGCGCAAGUGACGGUACCUGGAGAAGAAGGACCGGCCAACUACGUGCCAGCAGCCGCGGUAAUACGUAGGGUCCGAGCGUUGUCCGGAAUUACUGGGCGUAAAGAGCUCGUAGGUGGUUUGUCGCGUUGUUCGUGAAAACUCACAGCUCAACUGUGGGCGUGCGGGCGAUACGGGCAGACUGGAGUACUGCAGGGGAGACUGGAAUUCCUGGUGUAGCGGUGGAAUGCGCAGAUAUCAGGAGGAACACCGGUGGCGAAGGCGGGUCUCUGGGCAGUAACUGACGCUGAGGAGCGAAAGCGUGGGGAGCGAACAGGAUUAGAUACCCUGGUAGUCCACGCCGUAAACGGUGGGUACUAGGUGUGGGUUUCCUUCCUUGGGAUCCGUGCCGUAGCUAACGCAUUAAGUACCCCGCCUGGGGAGUACGGCCGCAAGGCUAAAACUCAAAGAAAUUGACGGGGGCCCGCACAAGCGGCGGAGCAUGUGGAUUAAUUCGAUGCAACGCGAAGAACCUUACCUGGGUUUGACAUGCACAGGACGUGCCUAGAGAUAGGUAUUCCCUUGUGGCCUGUGUGCAGGUGGUGCAUGGCUGUCGUCAGCUCGUGUCGUGAGAUGUUGGGUUAAGUCCCGCAACGAGCGCAACCCUUAUCUUAUGUUGCCAGCGCGUAAUGGCGGGGACUCGUGAGAGACUGCCGGGGUCAACUCGGAGGAAGGUGGGGAUGACGUCAAGUCAUCAUGCCCCUUAUGUCCAGGGCUUCACACAUGCUACAAUGGCCGGUACAAAGGGCUGCGAUGCCGUGAGGUGGAGCGAAUCCUUUCAAAGCCGGUCUCAGUUCGGAUCGGGGUCUGCAACUCGACCCCGUGAAGUCGGAGUCGCUAGUAAUCGCAGAUCAGCAACGCUGCGGUGAAUACGUUCCCGGGCCUUGUACACACCGCCCGUCACGUCAUGAAAGUCGGUAACACCCGAAGCCGGUGGCCUAA